rnacentral:rRNA from 1 species
UACGUAGGCAGCGAGCGUUGUUCGGAAUUACUGGGCGUAAAGAGUGUGUAGGCGGUGCUCUAAGUUCGGUGUGAAAUCUCCUGGCUCAACUGGGAGGGUGCGCCGGAAACUGGAGUGCUUGAGCGUGGGAGAGGAAAGCGGAAUUCCUGGUGUAGCGGUGAAAUGCGUAGAUAUCGGGAGGAACACCUGUGGCGAAGGCGGCCCCCUGGUUGGAUACUGACGCUGAUACGCGAAAGCGUGGGGAGCAAACAGG